rnacentral:rRNA from 1 species
AUUGAACGCUGGCGGCAGGCCUAACACAUGCAAGUCGAGCUAGCGGCGGACGGGUGAGUAAUGUAUGGGGACUGCCCGAUAGAGGGGGAUAACUACUUGACACGGUUGCUAAUACCGCAUACUAUCCGAUAACCCAUAUGGGAUUAACUAGUAGGUGGGGUAAAGGCUCACAUAGGCGACGAUCUCUAGCUGGUCUGAUAGGAAGAUCAGCAACAGUGGGACUGAGACACGGCCCAGAGUCCUACGGAGGCAGCAGAGGGGAAUAUUGCAAAAUGGGCGAAAGCCUGAAGCAGCCAUGCAGCGUGUAUGGAGAAGGCCUUAGGGGUGUAAAGUACUUUCAGCGGGGAGGCGUUACCCGCAGAAGGAGCACCGGCUAACUCCGUGACAGCAGACGCGGUAAUA